rnacentral:misc_RNA from 1 species
GCAAACUUGGUCAUUUAGAGGAAGUAAAAGUCGUAACAAGGUUUCCGUAGGUGAACCUGCGGAAGGAUCAUUAUCGAUUCAACAAGAAAUGUUGAGAGGGAGGAGAUCAUCCCGGCCCAGUUGUAAUACACGCACGUGAAUUCGUGUGGCAGCUCAUGCAGCUCUGGCUUUGACGAUACCCGCUCCAUUUUUUACACACACCUGUGCACCUGUUGUAGGUCCCGCAAGGGAUCUAUGUCUUUCUCAUAUACCCCAUUGUAUGUUUAUAGAAUGUACCUUUGUUGCUUCUCGUCAGAGAACAAUAAUAAAACCUUUAUAACUUUCAGCAACGGAUCUCUUGGCUCUCGCAUCGAUGAAGAACGCAGC